rnacentral:tRNA from 1 species
CCGGCGAUGGGCUGGUUUUCGCCAAGUUCGGCUUUGGCUCGCAUGAGGACUUCGUGCAUGUCGAGGUCGGCGGA